AUAUUACAUGGUGUCAGAAGUGGAGGCUACAAGGCUUCGGAAGCAGCGUGUAGCUUUCUUCUCCCUUGGGGCAGCUGAGUACUGUGGAAAAGAAGGACCACACCCAGAGACCUGAGGCCUGGUCUCAAUUUAACAGCAGAAGAAUCACUAGCUUCCUCAGCACAAAGGCCCUGGGCUCAAUUUUUCCCAACAAUGACUUGGCCAGUCCUACUGAAGGUCAGCGCUACCCACUAUUUGCUCACUUUGGGGAAUUUUGAAGCACCUGGAUGUCUCUAGAUCUCCACAACAUCUAUCCUCAGUCUUAACAUCUGCUGGACCCCAGCAACAAGCAAAGGUGGGCAAAGAACACCCUACACAUCACUUACGUCAGCUGCUGCCAUUUACUGUGUCAGAGAGCCAGCAAACACAUGCCUCCCCAUCACAAGCAAUUGGAAGUCCAUAGCUUUCAUCAGAUUCCCAAAAAAGGUUAAGAAUCACUGGCUAGAGUGAACGCACAAGUACUUGGACUCCCAGAGAAGAGACUGUAGCUGCUGGAUUCCUCCCUGGUCCUGCUGCUGUACACUAAGGUAUGGUUUGGUUUAGCUGCCAUCUGGCUCAUUAGGUAUC